GAUGAACGCUAGCGAUAGGCUUAACACAUGCAAGUCGAGGGGUAACGUGUUGGAAGCUUGCUUCCGAUGACGACGACCGGCGGAUGGGUGCGUAACGCGUAUGCAACUUGCCUCACAGUGGAGAAUAACCCGGAGAAAUCCUGACUAAUACUCCAUACACUCUUAAGUACGCCUGUACAUGAGAGGAAAGAUUUAUCGCUGUGAGAUAGGCAUGCGUCCUAUUAGGUAGUUGGUGAGGUAACGGCUCACCAAGCCGACGAUAGGUAGGGGUGCUGAGAGGCAGAUCCCCCACAUUGGGACUGAGACACGGCCCAAACUCCUACGGGAGGCAGCAGUGAGGAAUAUUGGUCAAUGGAGGAAACUCUGAACCAGCCAAGUCGCGUGAAGGAAGAAUGUCCUAAGGAUUGUAAACUUCUUUAGCGAGCGAGUAAGGACUUCCACGUGAUGGGAGUUUGAAAGUAGCUCGAGAAUAAGUAUCGGCUAACUCCGUG
rnacentral:rRNA from 1 species